UACGUAGGGGGCAAGCGUUAUCCGGAUUUACUGGGUGUAAAGGGAGCGUAGGUGGCAUGGUAAGCCAGAAGUGAAAACCCGGGGCUCAACCCCGCGGAUUGCUUUUGGAACUAUCAGGCUGGAGUGCUGGAGGGGUAAGCGGAAUUCCUAGUGUAGCGGUGAAAUGCGUAGAUAUUAGGAGGAACACCGGUGGCGAAGGCGGCUUACUGGACAGAAACUGACACCGAGGCUCGAAAGCGUGGGGAGCAAACAGG
rnacentral:rRNA from 1 species